CUCACUUACUUUUUCCUUCACUCCUGCUGCUCUUGAAUUGCAUCUCCCAGUAAAACCUUAGUAUUCAAACUUUGCCUUAGGCUUUGGGUUCUAGUUAGUUCAUGAAGUAGCUGUGAUGGCUAAUACUGAAUGUCAACUUGAUUGGAUUGAAGGAUGCAAAGUAUUAAUCCUGGGUAGGUCUGUGUGGGUGUUGCCAAAGGAGAUUAACAUUUGAGUCAGUGGGCUGGGGAAGGCAGACCCGCCCUUAAUCUGGGUGAGUAUCAUCUAAUCAGCUGCCAGCAAAUAUAAAGCAGGCAGGAAAACCUGGAAAGGUUAGACUGGCUUAGCCUCCCCACCUACGUCUUUCUCUCAUGCUGGAUAUUUCCUGCGCUCAAACAUCAGACUCCAAGUUCUUCAGCUUUGGGACUCAGACUCAGACUCAGACUGGCUUCCUUGCUCCUCAGCUUGCAGAUUGUGGGACCUUGUGAUCAUUUAGUGAACAGAAGGUCACACAAUGAAGAAAUUCAUAUGUCCUGAAAUGAUUCUACUGGGAACUGAAGCUAGAUGCUGGAGACUGCUCUAUGUGUCAAUUUCUCAUCAACCAACCUCGCUAAGAAAUUGAACAAGAUAGUUUAACCCUUUUCCUGUUUAGAAAAAAAAAAGUGCGGCUCGCUGCCAGCACUCAUUUAAUUUUAUAUAAACAUGCUCUUUGAGGCUGAAGCACA
rnacentral:lncRNA from 1 species